rnacentral:rRNA from 1 species
UACCAGCACCCCGAGUGGUCGGGACGAUUAUUGGGCCUAAAGCAUCCGUAGCCGGUCCUACAAGUCUUCCGUUAAAUCCACCUGCUUAACAGAUGGGCUGCGGAAGAUACUAUAGGGCUAGGAGGCGGGAGAGGCAAGCGGUACUCAGUGGGUAGGGGUAAAAUCCUCUGAUCCAUUGAAGACCACCAGUGGCGAAGGCGGCUUGCCAGAACGCGCUCGACGGUGAAGGAUGAAAGCUGGGGGAGCAAACCGG